CACCAUGUUGGCCAGGCUGGUCUCGAACUCCUGACCUCAAGUGAUCCACCCGCCUCAGCCUCCCAAAGUGCUGGGAUUACAGACAUGUGAGCCACCACGCCCAGCCUAAACUUCUUUUUUUUUUUAAAGACUGCAAUUCUAUAAUUAUACCUUGCAUUAGUAUUGCAAAAGUAGUCUCUACUUUUCUUGAAAGGUAAAAUUGAAAGGUAAAAUUCUCAAGUUCAUUUCUGGUUAUUCAGGGUUCAAUACAUACCUAUUCACAAACUCUGAUAUUUUAACAUAUCUUCAUAUGAUCACUUUUAAAGAGUUAUGUAUAUUCUUUUUAUUAAAAAAAGAUAACAUAUUUAGAAUUUUUGGAAGUUUGCUGACAUUUGUAUUUAGCAAUGCAGCCUCACUGAACAUUUUUCUCUCCAAAGACGUUUAAGGAAUCCUGUCUUCAAUUCUACCAUGCUGAGCUGAAGGAGCUUUCCUUUAUCAGAGCUGCAGAAGAGUCCAGGAAACACAUCAACACCUGGGUCUCAAAAAAGACCGAAGGUCAGAAUGACAAGUUAUUGCACCUUCCUCCCAACCCGUCCUCCUCCUGCGGCUCUUCCUAUUCCUCCUUCCCGCCUCUUAUAUCCUCUCUCCUCCUCCUCUCCCUCCUAUCCCUCCUCCCUCUCCUCACCCACCUCCACCUCUCCACUCCGCCCCCUCUAAUUUCACGGGUGUUUCAGAUGGUCAGAGUAGUGUUGACUGGCAGGGCCUCCUGGCAUACUGAACCUUGAUGGACUCAUAAAGGUUCUGAUCAGACAUUCAGGUUUUCAGCAACAGAGAUUUACUUUUGUCUAUUCUCCCAGGACCAGAGUAGCUGAUACAAAUGUCAAAAGAGGGCCAGCCACGGUGGCUCUCGCCUGUAAUCCCAGCAAUUUAGAAGGCCGAAGUGGACAUAUCACUUGAGGUCAGGAGUUCGAGACCAGCCUGACCAACAUGGUGGGACCCCCCCCCGCCCAACAUCUCUACUAAAAAUACAAAAAUUAGCCAGGUGUGGUGGCCCAUGCCUGUAAUCCCAGCUGCUUGGGAGGCUGAGACAUGAGAAUCACUUGAACCUGGGAGGCAGAAGUUGUAGUGAGCUGAGAUCAUGCCACUGAACUCCAGCCUGUCUC
rnacentral:lncRNA from 1 species